rnacentral:rRNA from 1 species
CCAGACUCCUACGGGAGGCAGCAGUGAGGAAUAUUGGUCAAUGGGAGAGAUCCUGAACCAGCCAAGCCGCGUGAGGGAAGACGGCCCUAUGGGUUGUAAACCUCUUUUGUCGGAGAACAAAACCCGGGACGUGUCCCGGACUGCGUGUAUCCGAAGAAAAAGCAUCGGCUAACUCCGUGCCAGCAGCCGCGGUAAUACGGAGGAUCCAAGCGUUAUCCGGAUUUAUUGGGUUUAAAGGGUGCGUAGGCGGUUUUAUAAGUUAGAGGUGAAGUCUCGGGGCUCAACUCCGAAAUUGCCUCUAAUACUGUAGGACUAGAAAGUAGUUGCGGUAGGCGGAAUGUAUGGUGUAGCGGUGAAAUGCUUAGAGAUCAUACAGAACACCGAUUGCGAAGGCAGCUUACCAAACUAUAUCUGACGUUGAGGCACGAAAGCGUGGGGAGCAAACAGGAUUAGAUACCCCGGUAAG